rnacentral:rRNA from 1 species
CGUCGAGUGGCGGACGGGUGAGUAAUGCUUGGGAAUCUGCCCAAUAGCGGGGGAUAACUCGAGGAAACUCGAGCUAAUACCGCAUACGCCCUACGGGGGAAAGCGGGGGAUCUUCGGACCUCGCACUAUUGGAUGAGCCCAAGUCGGAUUAGCUUGUUGGUAGGGUAACGGCCUACCAAGGCGACGAUCCGUAGCUGGUCUGAGAGGACGAUCAGCCACACCGGAACUGAGACACGGUCCGG